AGAUUGAACGCUGGCGGCAUGCCUAACACAUGCAAGUCGAACGGGAGUAGCAAUACUCUAGUGGCGGACGGGCGAGGAAUACGUAGGAAUUUGCCCUUAAGUGGGGGAUAACCCGGGGAAACCCGGAUUAAUACCGCAUGACCUCGAAAGAGCAAAGUGGGGGAUCGCAAGACCUCACGCUUUUGGAGAAGCCUACGUCGGAUUAGCUAGUUGGUGAGGUAAUGGCUCACCAAGGCGACGAUCCGUAACUGGUCUGAGAGGAUGAUCAGUCACACCGGAACUGAGACACGGUCCGGACUCCUACGGGAGCAGCAGUGGGGAAUAGUUGGACAAGUGGGCGCAAGCCUGAUCCAGCAAUGCCGCGUGUGUGAAGAAGGCCGUUCGGG
rnacentral:rRNA from 1 species